rnacentral:misc_RNA from 1 species
GAUGAAGAACGUAGCGAAAUGCGAUACUUGGUGUGAAUUGCAGAAUCCCGUGAACCAUCGAGUCUUUGAACGCAAGUUGCGCCCGAAGCCUUGGCUAAGGGCACGUCUGCCUGGGCGUCACGCAUCGCGUCUCCCCCAAACCGCCAAGGCGGAGGGGAAGGAAGAUGGCUUCCCGUGCCUCACCCGGGCGCGGUUGGCCUAAAUUUGGAGCCCGCGGCACUUAGCUCUCGCGGCGAUAGGUGGUGAACAAGGCCUUGGCCGUGCAAACAACCCGCUGCGAAGCUCUAUGUCACGUGCGCUCGUCGGACCCUUUGAAGUUGCCUUUGGUGACUUAAAACCUUUGCGACCCCAGGUCAGGCGGGGCUACCCGCUGAAUUUAAGCAUAUCAAUAAGCGGAGGA